rnacentral:tRNA from 1 species
GGUGAGGUGUCCGAGUGGUUGAAGGAGCACGCCUGGAAAGUGUGUAUAGGUUAACAGCCUAUCGAGGGUUCGAAUCCCUCCCUCACCGCCA